GAGGGUAUAGCUCAGUGGUAGAGCCCGUGCCUAGCAUGCUGGAAGUCCUGGGUUCAAUUCCCAGUACCUCCA
rfam:Camelus ferus unplaced genomic scaffold scaffold1144, whole genome shotgun sequence.